rnacentral:rRNA from 1 species
CCAGACUCCUACGGGAGGCAGCAGUGGGGAAUAUUGCACAAUGGGGGGAACCCUGAUGCAGCGACGCCGCGUGGGUGAAGAAGUCAUUCGUGACGUAAAGCCCUAUCAGCAGGGAAGAAAAUGACGGUACCUGACUAAGAAGCCCCGGCUAACUACGUGCCAGCAGCCGCGGUAAUACGUAGGGAGCAAGCGUUGUCCGGAAUUACUGGGCGUAAAGGGCGCGUAGGUGGGCGCUUAAGUCAGGUGUGAAAACUCCGGGCUCAACCUGGAGACUGCACUUGAAACUGGGUGUCUUGAGGGCAGGAGAGGAAAGUGGAAUUCCUAGUGUAGCGGUGAAAUGCGUAGAGAUUAGGAAGAACACCAGUGGCGAAGGCGAUUCUCUGGACUGUAACUGACGCUGAGGCUCGAAAGCGUGGGGAGCAAACAGGAUUAGAUACCCCAGUAA